AUUCCAGCUCCAAUAGCGUAUAUUUAAGUUGUUGCAGAUAAAAAGCUCGUAGUUGGAUUUCGGUUAAGAGCGACCGGUCCGCCGUUUGGUGUGCACUGGUUGGUUUUAACUUCCUGUAGAGGACGUGCUCUGGGCUUAACGGUCUGGACUCGGAGUCUACGUGGUUACUUUGAAAAAAUUAGAGUGUUCAAAGCGGGCUUACGCUUGAAUAUUUCAGCAUGGAAUAACACUAUAGGACUCCUGUCCUAUUUCGUUGGUCUCGGGACGGGAGUAAUGAUUAAGAGGAACAGUUGGGGGCAUUCGUAUUUCAUUGUCAGAGGUGAAAUUCUUGGAUUUAUGAAAGACGAACUUCUGCGAAAGCAUUUGCCAAGGAUGUUUUCAUUA
rnacentral:rRNA from 1 species